GUAACAUAAAAUAUAUUAGCCAUUCCAUCAGAUGGCUGGAGAGAAAAACUAGCUGCGAUGAGGAAAAACGAAUUAAAGGAGCAUUAAUAAAGAUUAUCUAUAAAAGAAAAUAAGGUCAAAAUUAGAACUCUGCAUUUUAAAGCCACCUUUCAAAAAUGCAAGCUGCUUUGCCCAAUGCUAAAAUCCAUUCAUUUUACUAAUCAUGCAAUCAACCAAUCUCCAUUAUCUCCAGCUAGCUAGCUAUAAACAUGCUAUAGACUGGAGUGAAAGAGGGAGAGUGUGAGGUUGAGAGACAGAGAGAGAGAGAGAGAGAGAAAGAAAGAGAGAGAGAGAGAUUACUACACCCAGCCUUUUAUAAAGCCGUUUCUUUCAUUAUAACAGGUCUUUUCAUCAAAAUGACACAGAACCUUUAAAUUUGGGCAUAAUACUCCAGUACAGUACACAGCUAUAGCUUAAAAUGGAUUUAGAACCUGCUCCAGAAAGAAAACAAACUCCCUCGUUUGACACACAAAUUGUUUACGAUUCAUUAAAAAGCAAAAUUGCAUAUCACAGUGCUGGCAGCUGAGUCCAUAUGGGUGCAAGGGGUAUUCACUCAUCUCUUUGUAUGCUGGCAGUACCAAACCGAAGUUUAGCACUGUGCAGCUGAGAUUUUGUGCAGCCAGACGAUGCAUGAGCUUUUGGAAAUCCUAUAAUCCUGGUUUCAAUCAAGAGGAUCUGCUGUUGCUGAAGGCGUAAACAAGGAGAGAAGCAGCAUGUGACCCCUGCUCCUGCACCUUCAAGGAAUCCCAAGCCAAAAUGAGUGCAAUGAUGCUGAGUCCUCAGGAAGGGGGACCAAUGACUAAUAAAUCAGGUGUUUCUUCCUUCAGUAUAAGUCACCUACUGGGAUCAAUAAGAAGCAGAAAAAAGAGUUCUCUUGUUUGCGUGAGAUAAUGCAGACAAAGAGCUACAUGCAGUAGGGAUCCACAGGGAAGCAGCUCAGCUCUCCAACACACAGAACAACAUCAAUCCUUAGGCUGAUUUCUCCAGCCCAACCUCCACUACAUUUAAAAUGAAUCAUGAAAGAAUCGGAGACUAAUUCACAGCAUAGCUAACAACUCCGUUACAACCUCAACUCGCAACUGAAGUUAUUCUUUUGCCAAAGGAAUAGACAACUGCUAUUCAAGCAAAAUUAGUACAUCACCUAGAGAAAACUGUUUCAUAAAGCAGCAUGUUUCAACCCCUGGGUCACUGCUCACAGUAAGUUCUUUAGUUGCUACAUUUUUUGCUGCCUACUUCUAUCUGUAACAAAUCUACCGCACAAAUCUGAAACUUGGGCAUCUACUCCUAUGUGUAGAAGCAACCAACAUAGGGAAACAGACAUUAUUAAACUUCCAAAGGUUGGUUUUGUUUUCAGUUGGUUGCAGCAAGUAGAGACACCAACACUGGACAAGAUGGUCUUGGAAGCAAGGUCAAGUGCUUCCUCACUCAAAAAGGGUAAGAAAUACUUCAAAAAGAAUUUGAAGAUUGAAAGAGACUAAAGCAGAAGAUGUAAAUCAAGCCAACUGGAUUUCCAGACAGGACACGCUCAGUGGAGAAAGGCUCACCACCAAAUAUUUAGUACUGCAACCACUUCAGAGUAUUUUUUCCUGUGGUAUUUCCUAACAGAGACAAUCCGAGAUAGGACCCGUCUGUGGGAAGUUAGAGCAGGGAGAGAGUUGGAUUUUGAUGGGGCUGGGGGUCUGCACAUCUGCCACAGCAUCAGCUGAUACACGGGAGUAGUGUGUGCUACGGUGCCAGCUGAUGCUGCUGAAGGCAGAGGCCGAGCACAAUGACAAGAUGCCUCCUCUGUAGGGACAUCCUUCUUUAAUUACUCUGCCUGCGGCCUCCUGCUCCUUUUCCACCUUCCUUUCCUCCCUGGAACACAAAGGAGGAGGGGAGGGGAAUAGCAACUGGCUGUCAGCUGACUCUGGAGGGAAAUUAGAUGGAGGAUCCCCUCUGAGAUGGUACUUUUUGAUGCCCUCUCUGAUCAGUGCAGUGGCCUAAGCAAAGCUACUGCCUCCUGCUUCCCCCUCUCCCCCUCUGAAAUCCCCUGGCAGCCAUACUGCUACAGAUACACAAAUAGUCCAGCAGCAGCAGCCUGAAGCCAGGAGGUGAAAGAAAUGACUCCCACUAGCUACGGAAGAUAGAAUUGUGAGAGGACAUGUGCUUUCGGACAGGGAGCUGCUAUGAAAUGCACUGGGGCAACUGGGGAUGGAUCCUUUCCUCUCCCCAGGUAUACCCCAAAUGGUCCAAAAGUUUGCUGGUUGACAAGAUAUGCAAAGCAGAAUGUGUGUAAUUUAUUGUGUCCAGCAAUAAACAAAAUAUUAAGUGCAUUUUUAAUGCUGUAAAACCUUUUAAAAGACUUUUAAACCUUUCACUGUGGGACAUAAUUAAACUUGUUUUGCUAUCUGCAACAGACCUGGCCUCCAAACACAUAAUUAAGCAGUCACAAAUUGCAAAAUUGGUUUGUUUGGUUCCCACACUAUGCAAAUAUUGAUAAAAGCUUUCUCAUUUGUCAGUUAUUGCACUGUAAUUGACAGGCUACGGGCAACACAAUUAUGUGAGUUUGGAGCUUGAAGACCACAGCCACGUCUUCCCAUGAUUUCCCAACACUGAAUAUCUUACUCAGUGUGUUCUCUACGGUUUCAGUGGCUGCAUGCACUCAGGUAACGUAGCAGCUACAA